AAUAGACACAUUAAGGUAAAUUAAAUAUUGAGGCUCAUGUUUGCAUCUUUGUGUUUAUAUAUCAAAAGAUUGCUCUGUGAUUUCAGUGAAAGCUGAUAAAUACAGAGGGCUGGACAGUGGUUUCAUUGAUUAAGUAAAGAGGUGGGACAAGGAUGCUGACAGGACAGGAGGAGGUGACAUUCAGCUGAAUUUCUCAUAGGUGGAUAAAGGAUGACAGCAAUUGUGAAGACCUUAGACGUGCAGUAUAUGGUUCUUCUCUCUUUCAUUUAUAUUGAUUUGACUUAAUUUUCUUGACAUUCAGCGCAGACAUUUUCAUCCAAAGCAACUUGAGGAAGAAAACAAGAAGCAGUUCAUCCUAAAAGUGGGCUGCUGUAUGGAAAGAGGAGCUGAGAAGAAAAGAGAGGCUGGAAAGCAGUACUUCUUGUUGAGGACAAUCCUGAAUAGGAACACUUUCUCAUAUACACAUAGAUUAUAAUUUAGUGUUUGAUAUUUU